GGGCGCUGUCCUGAGUCCAGUCAGUUUGCUCCAUCGUGUCCAUCACGGGAGUCGCGCAGCUCACAUAACCUCUCGCGACGGUUCGCUGUUGCUCGAGAGCGUUAUGAAGGAUACAGGGUCGUGGUUCCUCCGAUGAUCUACCGCUAGUGCCGCGCGUCGUCGACGCGGCCCGGGACACCUCGACGAUAGCGAGGAUAGCCGUAAGCGGUGGCAGCCUGCGAUAGCUGGCGUACUCCGGUUAUGCCCAGCUCCGAAAAAACAGGGCUUCUGAAACCUAACCUCUCAGUUUUGGACACGGUGACACCGGCGACCGGAACCCUUUCUCCUGGUGAUCUGGUUACUUCGAGCAAGCUUCGCGCUACGUCUCGCUCCUGGAACCUUGCUGAACACCGUACCGUUUUUGGAUGCGCGAUGCUAAUAUUGGUCUGUCGUCCCGACGCACUCAACUAUCGAACCUCUACCCGUUUGGAGGCUAAGGGAGCAUUGGUGACCAGGAAAAAGUAGGCUUGGUAACUUUGAAGGUGCCGAACAGUGUUGGCGUAAGCCAACGUUGGCGAACGAGGCGAAAUGGCGACGAUAGAUGGGCGGCCGGCCCAAUAUGGGAUUUCCCUCAAGCAGCUCCGCGAGCUCAUGGAGCACCGGGGUCGCGAGGGUGUCAACAAAAUUAACGGCUAUGGUGGUGUGCAGGAGAUAUGUAAAAAGUUGUACACUUCACCUAGUGAAGGCCUCAGUGGAUCGGCGGCGGAUAUCCAACACAGGCGAGACACAUUUGGUUCCAACAUGAUACCUCCAAAACCACCAAAAACGUUUUUACAAUUAGUAUGGGAAGCACUGCAGGAUGUAACAUUAAUAAUUUUGGAAAUUGCUGCAUUGGUUUCGUUAGGGCUAAGCUUCUACCAACCAGCGGACGAGGAGAAACCUUUAGUCGAUGAGGAUGAAGCUAAAUACGGUUGGAUCGAGGGUCUUUCAAUUUUGCUUUCUGUAAUUCUGGUGGUAAUAGUGACGGCUUCCAACGACUACUCUAAAGAAAGACAAUUCCGGGGUCUCCAGAGUAGGAUAGAAGGGGAACAUAAAUUCUCCGUCAUUCGGCAAGGAGAAGUAAAACAAAUUUCUGUAUCUGACAUCGUUGUUGGCGACAUAUGUCAGAUCAAAUAUGGAGAUCUGUUGCCCGCGGAUGGAAUCCUCAUACAAAGCAACGAUCUAAAAGUAGACGAAUCCAGUUUAACUGGAGAGUCAGAUCAUGUCAAAAAGGGAGAAUCUUUUGAUCCAAUGGUACUUUCAGGCACUCACGUGAUGGAAGGGUCAGGGAAAAUGUUGGUGACUGCUGUUGGCGUGAACUCGCAAGCUGGUAUUAUUUUCACUUUAUUGGGUGCUGCUGUUGAUCAGCAGGAACAGGAAAUCAAGAAGAUGAAGAAAGAGGCUAAAAAGCAGCGGAAGAAGAGGUCUAUACCAGGAGAUGAAGCUGCCGAGAUCACUGGAAACAGUCAUGCAGCCGGUGGUGGUAAGCACGAGGGCGGCGAGAACCAUCAUGCACCUUCCGGAGGGGGUGGCGGUGAGGGCAAGAAGGACAAAAGCGUCCUCCAGGCGAAGCUGACUAAACUCGCCAUCCAGAUCGGCUACGCCGGAUCGACCAUCGCAGUGCUGACCGUCGUCAUUCUAGUCAUUCAAUUCUGCGUGACGACGUUCGUCAUUCAGGGGAAACCGUGGAAGAACACGUAUGCUGGUGACCUGGUGCGGCAUUUAAUUAUCGGUGUGACGGUGCUCGUCGUAGCUGUUCCCGAAGGUCUUCCUCUAGCCGUUACUCUGUCCCUCGCCUAUUCCGUUAAGAAAAUGAUGAAGGACAACAACCUGGUGCGUCACUUGGAUGCUUGCGAGACCAUGGGUAACGCUACUGCCAUUUGCUCGGACAAGACAGGAACGUUGACGACCAAUAGAAUGACCGUCGUACGGUCGUACAUAUGCGAGCAGAUGAGCGACAGUGCGAACUUCUCGGAUAUCCCCAGUCACGUCGGAAGCUUGAUAAUCCAAGCAGUCUCGAUUAAUUCGGCGUACACGUCCAGAAUCAUGCCCUCGCAAGACCCUACCGAGCUGCCUAUGCAGGUCGGCAACAAAACCGAAUGUGCCUUACUUGGAUUUGUAUUGUCCCUGGGCAAGAGUUAUCAAACCGUGCGAGACGACCACCCCGAGGAAACGUUCACGCGAGUAUACACGUUCAACAGCGUCAGGAAGAGCAUGUCCACCGUCAUACCGAGGCAAGGUGGUGGCUACAGGCUCUUUACAAAAGGCGCUUCCGAAAUCAUCAUGAAGAAAUGUGCCUUUAUAUACGGUCGCGACGGACAUCUGGAGAAGUUUACCAGGGAGAUGCAGGAGCGGCUGGUAAAGAAAGUGAUAGAACCAAUGGCGUGCGACGGCCUCCGUACCAUCUCCGUUGCUUACCGGGACUUCGUACCCGGCAAGGCCGAAAUCAAUCAGGUCCACUGUGAGGGCGAGCCUAAUUGGGAAGACGAAGAGAACAUCGUGGCCAAUCUUACCUGCCUUUGCAUCGUCGGUAUCGAGGAUCCGGUGCGGCCCGAGGUACCGGAAGCGAUCAAAAAGUGUCAGAAGGCUGGUAUCACUGUCAGGAUGGUCACUGGCGAUAACAUCAACACAGCGAGGUCCAUUGCCAUUAAAUGCGGUAUCGUCAAACCGAACGAGGAUUUCCUCAUCUUAGAGGGGAAGGAGUUCAAUCGGCGGAUCAGAGACAGCAAUGGAGAGGUUCAGCAGCAUUUACUGGAUAAGGUUUGGCCAAAACUCAGGGUACUGGCUAGAUCCUCGCCUACGGACAAAUAUACCCUUGUUAAGGGCAUCAUAGAUAGCAAAAUAUCGGCAAGUCGUGAGGUCGUAGCUGUCACUGGCGACGGCACGAACGACGGUCCCGCCCUGAAAAAGGCCGAUGUCGGCUUCGCUAUGGGCAUCGCUGGAACCGACGUCGCCAAAGAAGCCUCCGACAUCAUCCUAACGGAUGAUAACUUCUCUUCCAUCGUCAAGGCGGUUAUGUGGGGCAGGAACGUCUACGACAGCAUAGCCAAGUUCUUGCAGUUCCAACUGACAGUUAACGUCGUCGCGGUCAUAGUCGCCUUUAUCGGCGCGUGUGCCGUACAAGACUCACCCCUGAGGGCGGUACAGAUGUUGUGGGUCAACCUGAUCAUGGACACGCUGGCGUCGCUUGCCCUGGCCACGGAAUUACCCACGCCUGACCUUCUGCUUCGUAAGCCUUACGGCCGCACGAAACCUCUCAUUUCCAGGACGAUGAUGAAGAACAUUCUCGGCCAGGCCGUUUACCAGCUAACUGUCAUCUUUGUGCUCCUCUUUGCCGGGGAUAAGAUGCUCGACAUCGAUACCGGGAGAGGCGUGGCAGAGGCCGGUGGCGGCCCGACGCAACACUUUACCGUCAUCUUCAACACGUUCGUCAUGAUGACCCUCUUCAACGAAUUCAACGCCAGGAAAAUUCAUGGUCAGCGCAACGUCUUCCAGGGACUCUUCACCAACCCCAUCUUCUACACUAUUUGGAUCUUCACCUGUUUGUCGCAAGUGCUGAUCAUCAACUACGGUAAGAUGGCGUUCAGCGCAAAAGCUCUUACCCUAGAACAGUGGAUGUGGUGCCUGUUUUUCGGAUUCGGCACGCUACUCUGGGGCCAACUAGUCACGACUAUUCCUACGCGCAAGAUUCCCAAGAUACUUUCAUGGGGCCGCGGCCAGCCGGAUGAUAUCGGUGCGAUCAAUCUAGGAGACGAGAAAUUCGACCCCGACUCGGAUAAAAAGCCGCGCGCAGGACAAAUUCUAUGGAUCCGCGGUCUGACGCGGCUACAGACUCAGACGAGCAAUAGAACUCUGGUGCAGAAUGUAUCUGUGACAGGCAGAUCCCCCUCUCAGGAUUACUAUAUGCCAGCGGAACCCAUUCGAGAGACUGAGGUAUAACGGGGCGGCAGUCUUGCCCGCCGCCACACUUUUCCUGUCGGAGUACAAACAAAUCCGCGUAGUAAACGCGUUUCGGCAGGGGCUCGACGCGCGCUACGGUGAACACAGCAACACCACCCUCGCGGAGGUCCUGCGCAAGAGGCUCUCGCAGACCAGCAGCAUCGAGUACGCGGACAAUAUACG
rnacentral:misc_RNA from 1 species